rnacentral:lncRNA from 1 species
GCGUUGUCUAAUGCAUCGUAAUAGGAAAGAAAAUGGCUGAGGAGGAGGUCAACAUGAGAGUAGAGGAGGGUUUGUGAAAAAGAUGAAGAAAGAGACUUGUGAAUGAGAGGGAGGGAGGAGGGUUUUUUGCAGAGAAGAAAGAAUCUUGGCAUCUUUGAAGAAGAUGAUGAUUUCAUCUUGAUGUGAGCAAAUUCAUUGUUUCUUAAGCAGCCAAAGAAAAAGAGACAGGAAAGGGGAAAGGGAAAGAUGGGAAAC